rnacentral:tRNA from 1 species
UGCUCAGUAGCUCAAUGGUAGAGCGAUCGGCUGUUAACCGAUAGGUUGUAGGUUCGAGCCCUACCUGAGCAG